GAACGCACCCGAUCUCGUCUGAUCUCGGAGUGAACC
ensembl:rRNA 5S_rRNA 5S ribosomal RNA